UGGCGGCAUGCUAUACAUGCAAGUCGAGCGAACUUGAGGGAGCUUGCUCCCAAAAGUUAGCGGCGGACGGGUGAGUAACACGUGGGCAACCUGCCUGUAAGACUGGGAUAACUUCGGGAAACCGGAGCUAAUACCGGAUAAUUCUUUUCCUCACAUGUGGAAAAGCUGAAAGAUGGCUCCGGCUAUCACUUACAGAUGGGCCCGCGGCGCAUUAGCUAGUUGGUGAGGUAACGGCUCACCAAGGCGACGAUGCGUAGCCGACCUGAGAGGGUGAUCGGCCACACUGGGACUGAGACACGGCCCAGACUCCUACGGGAGGCAGCAGUAGGGAAUCUUCCGCAAUGGACGAAAGUCUGACGGAGCAACGCCGCGUGAGUGAUGAAGGUUUUCGGAUCGUAAAACUCUGUUGUUAGGGAAGAACAAGUACCGUUCGAAUAGGGCGGUACCUUGACGGUACCUAACCAGAAAGCCACGGCUAACUACGUGCCAGCAGCCGCGGUAAUACGUAGGUGGCAAGCGUUGUCCGGAAUUAUUGGGCGUAAAGCGCGCGCAGGCGGUCUUUUAAGUCUGAUGUGAAAGCCCCCGGCUCAACCGGGGAGGGUCAUUGGAAACUGGGAGACUUGAGUGCAGAAGAGGAGAGUGGAAUUCCACGUGUAGCGGUGAAAUGCGUAGAGAUGUGGAGGAACACCAGUGGCGAAGGCGACUCUCUGGUCUGUAACUGACGCUGAGGCGCGAAAGCGUGGGGAGCGAACAGGAUUAGAUACCCUGGUAGUCCACGCCGUAAACGAUGAGUGCUAAGUGUUAGAGGGUUUCCGCCCUUUAGUGCUGCAGCAAACGCAUUAAGCACUCCGCCUGGGGAGUACGGCCGCAAGGCUGAAACUCAAAGGAAUUGACGGGGGCCCGCACAAGCGGUGGAGCAUGUGGUUUAAUUCGAAGCAACGCGAAGAACCUUACCAGGUCUUGACAUCCUCUGACAAUCCUAGAGAUAGGACUUUCCCCUUCGGGGGACAGAGUGACAGGUGGUGCAUGGUUGUCGUCAGCUCGUGUCGUGAGAUGUUGGGUUAAGUCCCGCAACGAGCGCAACCCUUGAUCUUAGUUGCCAGCAUUCAGUUGGGCACUCUAAGGUGACUGCCGGUGACAAACCGGAGGAAGGUGGGGAUGACGUCAAAUCAUCAUGCCCCUUAUGACCUGGGCUACACACGUGCUACAAUGGAUGGUACAAAGGGCUGCAAGACCGCGAGGUUUAGCCAAUCCCAUAAAACCAUUCUCAGUUCGGAUUGCAGGCUGCAACUCGCCUGCAUGAAGCCGGAAUCGCUAGUAAUCGCGGAUCAGCAUGCCGCGGUGAAUACGUUCCCGGGCCUUGUACACACCGCCCGUCACACCACGAGAGUUUGUAACACCCGAAGUCGGUGGGGUAACCGCAAGGAGCCAGCCGCCUAAGGUGGAGCAGAUAAUGG
rnacentral:rRNA from 1 species